UGAAGAAACAAGUCCUUCACACAACAGCGUGAGUACGGUGAGAGACCAGAAGACAGAGCGCAGAUUCCAGCUGCGGCACACACACGACCAGCAGAGCAGCACCAUGAGGUCCACUACGCCAGCGUCUGCUUCACCCAGAACCGGGCAGAUGACCUCUACGCCAACAUAGGUAGAGUUCAACCCCAGAGAGAAACUGAGGAAGAGGAGGAGGAGGCUGAAUACAGUGCUGUUCGAUUUGACAGUGCAACAGGAACAAGACGUGAAGAAGAGGGGGACGAUUCAUCUGCAGUGUACAGCACAGUCACCAAACACUGAAGAAACACAACGUGAAUCUGUUGUUUAUAUGUGGAUUUUACAUUAUCACGGAACCAGGAGAAAUAAAACAUAUAGACAUGU